AAGGAUCAUUACUGUGGGGGCCCCCCGGGGCCCCUGCCGAGAUAGCACCCCUUGUCUUUUCGAGCACCAACCGUUUCCUCGGCGGGCACGCCCGCCAGCGGGGACCAAAAGAAACCUUAAACCGCAGUAUCAGCAGUCGCAAACGUACCAAAACAAAAAAUCAAAACUUUCAACAACGGAUCUCUUGGUUCUG
rnacentral:misc_RNA from 1 species